UCUCCACUUGACGAGUAAAAUACUCUGGCGUUAGACAGAGUAAAAUACUAAAGUAUAGGGUGCAUCAGGGUGCAAUGCGACUCAAUGGGUUAACUAGACACAUGGGCAGAUAGGCCAGUUAACCCAUUAAACGCCAGCGCUCUCCACUUGACGAGUAAAAUACUCUGGCGUUAGACAGAGUAAAAUACUAAAGUAGGGUGCAUCAGGGUGCAAUGCGACUCAAUGGGUUAAUUUGCAACCUUUA